CCUACGGGAGGCAGCAGUGGGGAAUAUUGCACAAUGGGGGAAACCCUGAUGCAGCGACGCCGCGUGAGUGAAGAAGUAAUUCGUUACGUAAAGCUCUAUCAGCAGGGAAGAAAAUGACGGUACCUGAGUAAGAAGCCCCGGCUAACUACGUGCCAGCAGCCGCGGUAAUACGUAGGGGGCAAGCCUUAUCCGGAUUUACUGGGUGGAAAGGGAGCGUAGACGGUGCGCCAAGUCUGGAGUGAAAUGCCGCAGCUUAACUGUGGGACUGCUUUGGAAACUGGCGAACUAGAGUGCGGGAGGGGUAAGCGGAAUUCCUAGGGUAGCGGUGAAAUGCGUAGAUAAUAGGAGGAACACCGGUGGCGGAGGCGGCUUACUGGACCGUAACUGACGUUGAGGCUCGAAAGCGUGGGGAGCCAACCGGAAUAGAUACCCCAGUAGUC
rnacentral:rRNA from 1 species